rnacentral:rRNA from 1 species
GAUGAACGCUAGCUACAGGCUUAACACAUGCAAGUCGAGGGGAAACGACAUCGAAAGCUUGCUUUUGAUGGGCGUCGACCGGCGCACGGGUGAGUAACGCGUAUCCAACCUGCCCAUCACUUGGGAAUAACCUUGCGAAAGUAAGACUAAUACCCAAUGAUAUCCCACGAAGGCAUCGGAAUGGGAUUAAAGAUUUAUCGGUGAUGGAUGGGGAUGCGUCUGAUUAGCUUGUUGGCGGGGUAACGGCCCACCAAGGCAACGAUCAGUAGGGGUUCUGAGAGGAAGGUCCCCCACAUUGGAACUGAGACACGGUCCAAACUCCUACGGGAGGCAGCAGUGAGGAAUAUUGGUCAAUGGGCGAGAGCCUGAACCAGCCAAGUAGCGUGCAGGAAGACGGCCCUAUGGGUGGUAAACUGCUUUUAGAAGGGAAUAAAGUGGGUCACGUGUGACUUUUUGCAUGUACCUUAUGAAUAAGGACCGGCUAAUUCCGUG